AAGCCCUACGUUGGUCUCUCUUCAGUCUCCGCCUCCCUCAGCUCUCUGCCUCCCUCAUCUCUCUCUUUAUUUCUCAAAAGCUUAAACCUCAUCCUUACAAGCCAGUUUCAAGCUAUUUGCUCCAUUUGUCUCUGUGUUUUUAACUAAAGAGCUCUUCUGCCUCUCUCUGGGGUUUCACUAUUUUGCAUUUUCGCAAAGGUUAUGGCCUAGCUGGAUAUGCUUUAUUUGUAGUGGUUUAUGCAGGACUGGAAUCUCUAGCUGAACUUAGAGAGGAGGAAAGUUUGCUAUUGACGGAAAGGAUAAAUUUGAAAGAUGAACUGGCAGCUUUGCGUCUCACUCUUGAGAAAAAGACAGCUACAAAUGACAGUUUGAAGAGAAUUAAGGUGGAAAAUAUUGGAGCAACUUUCACUUGGAGUUUGGAAAUGGAAGCUCUUUUGUAAUUACUUUAGCUUGUAAUUCUGAUGUUCAAUGAUCUGGAGAUAUCUUAGCAAGUUUUUCAUUCUUUAAUUUAGGUGAUGCGAUUUGCACAUUAAUUGUUUGGUCAAAAGUUGAGUUAAUGAAGUUGUACAUAGAGUUUUUCAAUGCUUUAUCUGGGAUUUGUUGGGUAUUGGAUCUUAUAACAGUGAAAACAAGGCUGAUUAGUUCUUUCU